AACAAAGUCAGGCAUCCACGUACACGCCUGAACAGUGUGUUGCGGACUCAUAAUCCGCUGGUCGCGGGUUCGAGCCCCGCCCGCCCCA
rnacentral:tRNA from 1 species